rnacentral:lncRNA from 1 species
GUAACUUUGGUUUAAGCACUAUUCACUGGUUCCACCAAAGAAAGCCAGGAAUGUUUUGCUCGUGCUGUGCACAUGACAUGAGCAAGGAGGAACCACUGGGAACGGCUUUCUCGAAAGAAGCAUACCGUGCAAGAUGA